rnacentral:lncRNA from 1 species
GUUGUUACGUGGCUGCUCCAGAGAGGACUUAAGACCUGCUAUCUUUUCCAUCUUUUCCCUCUGCCUUCCGCAGCACUCGCUUCAGCCUCAAGCGCCAUACAGUGCGGCUGUGAUGGGGGCAGUUCCCAACCUCACGCCCUCGCACCCCGCCACCCAGGAGAUCAGAGGGAGUUUCUGUAACACUAGGAUCCCUGAACCAACCAGUGUGGCCAGGAGGAUGGAACCCACUGGGUGAGUCUCCCUGAGCAGUCUGUCACAGGAUCAAGACACAAUGACAGACCGGUGAGAACCUGGGGUCGGUGGCGGGGGGGGUGGGGGGGGUGGGGGGGGGGGGAGGAGGGCAAGAAACCGACCGCAUUUAUUCGAUCCACCUGCCAACGGCGGGAGCCUUUUUUUGCACCAGGGCGCGUCAUUGGUCACGCAUCAACCAAUGGCCUGAUUGGGCUUGAGUCAGGUGGUAACCCCUGAUCCAAUCAGCGGAGGCUGGCCGAGGGCAGGGCCACGCCCCCACACGCGUGGCUGGCGGAGGGGAGCGGGGAGAACCGUGCUAAAGCAGGUGCUGCGGCACGAACUUCUCACCGGGGUGACCCCUGGGUGUGGGCUUGGCACGCGGUGAUCGCCACGUCGGCCGCCGGCCACUGCGGGUGCGCAGGCGGUGGAAGAGGAGGCUGAGAGUGAGGGAGGCCGGGGCCAGCUCCUCGUCCUCCUGGUGUCUGACGCGGGUCACCACUGUCUUCCCAACACCCUGGACCCUCCUGCCAGCCCUCCUUGUACCAGAUGCCCUGUUGGGGCUCCAUUCCCCUCCUGGCCCCUGCGGUGGGGCUGCUUGAGAGCAAGUAACAGCCGUGCAUCGUGGGGUCUCCGCACAUGUAGGGACUCCAGCUGAAAGGCCGGUUGCUCUAAACUGGCUGGGGGUUCCUUUAUACAUUUCCCAGACUAGUACAUCCAAGUCAUCCAGAAUCCCAGUCUGCUUUGGCUAGCAUGGGGAUGAAGUGGCCCUCGCCCCCAGCAGAGGCUGAACUGGCCCCAGCGCUGCCCGUAGGUCCCAGACCUCUGGCCCACGCCUACCUCUCGCCCACACCCGCC